rnacentral:rRNA from 1 species
UUGAACGCUGGCGGCAUGCUUUACACAUGCAAGUCGAACGGUAACAGGGAGCUUGCUCCGCUGACGAGUGGCGAACGGGUGAGUAAUGCAUUGGAACGUACCCAGUCGUGGGGGAUAACGUAGCGAAAGUUACGCUAAUACCGCAUACGUCCUGAGGGAGAAAGCGGGGGACCGUAAGGCCUCGCGCGAUUGGAGCGGCCGAUGUCGGAUUAGCUAGUUGGUGGGGUAAAGGCCUACCAAGGCGACGAUCCGUAGCGGGUCUGAGAGGAUGAUCCGCCACACUGGGACUGAGACACGGCCCAGACUCCUACGGGAGGCAGCAGUGGGGAAUUUUGGACAAUGGGGGCAACCCUGAUCCAGCCAUGCCGCGUGAGUGAAGAAGGCCUUCGGGUUGUAAAGCUCUUUCAGACGGAACGAAACGGUACGCUCUAACAUAGCGUGCUAAUGACGGUACCGGCAGAAGAAGCACCGGCUAACUACGU